rnacentral:rRNA from 1 species
AGAGUUUGAUCAUGGCUCGAGGACGAACGCUGGCGGCGUGCUUAACACAUGCAAGUCGAACGGUAAGGCCCUUCGGGGUACACGAGUGGCGAACGGGUGAGUAACACGUGGGUGAUCUGCCCUGCACUUCGGGAUAAGCCUGGGAAACUGGGUCUAAUACCGGAUAGGACCAUGGACUUCACGGUUUGUGGUGGAAAGCUUUUGCGGUGUGGGAUGGGCCCGCGGCCUAUCAGCUUGUUGGUGGGGUAAUGGCCUACCAAGGCGACGACGGGUAGCCGGCCUGAGAGGGUGUCCGGCCACACUGGGACUGAGAUACGGCCCAGACUCCUACGGGAGGCAGCAGUGGGGAAUAUUGCACAAUGGGCGCAAGCCUGAUGCAGCGACGCCGCGUGAGGGAUGACGGCCUUCGGGUUGUAAACCUCUUUCAAUAGGGACGAAGCGCGAGUGACGGUACCUAUAGAAGAAGCACCGGCCAACUACGUG